AAACAAUAAGCCCUACUUUAUAGUUGCAAAAUUUUUUUCACUGAUUUUUCUUAAGCAUUUCACCAGUUAUAAUGGAAAUGAGAUCAGGAAAGCGUAAAAGUAGAAUAUAUAGCAGUUUGAUUGCACUAGCCUCCUAGACUGGUCUCUUUGCUUCCACCCUUCUCUCUGUGGUCUAUGGUCAAAAAGGCAGCCAGGAAGAGCUGAUUAAAAGACAAUCAGACCAUGUCACUGCUCCGCUUAAAACCUUUUAAUGGUUUCCCAUCUCCCAGUAAAAGUCAAAGUCCUUGGAAAAGCUCAUACCAUCCCACCUCUGUCUCUGUUCUGGCCUCCCAUAUCAUUCCUCCCCCACCUCCACUCUCAUGCUCUUCUUCAGACAAACCAGGAUCUCCCCACCUAUCUGUGCACAUGUUCCUUCACCUUUUUCCAGUCUCAAUUCAAUUGUCACCUUAUCAGCAGGGUCUUCCUUUUUGCCCUAUUUCAAACUGCAAUCCCCUAGCUCUUUCCCUGUUAUGCUAUUCUAGAGCUGUCUCGACAUUUAACAUACUCUUGUGUGCAGUUUACCUAUUAAUCUGGUUCACUGUCUAAUGUCUCCAUUUGAACAUAAGCUCCAUGAGGACAGGGGUUUUUACUUCAUUCACUGCUGUGUGCCCUGGCUCUACAACAGUCCUUGGCACAUAGUAGGUGCCCAAUAUACACUUGUUGAAUGAGUGAAUGAUUUAAGCGUCUGUUACUGCACAGGUAUAUUCCAAGGCUGAGCUGAUUAGAGGCCCAGCAAUACCAGGCCUGGGACCUCCUAGAGCACAUGAGUUUGAACAAUAUCAAAAUGAAAUACGAGGUUCUGUGUGUGUAAGGUGCUGGGCCUGGAACCAGAUGAGCUGCGGCACUCCCCACCCCCAGCCCUGUCCGCCAACUCCUAGUCCUCAGGGACUUCACAGAUGCAUAAAAACAGAGCAAGAGAGCUUAUGUCAUGACUCAAAUUAGUACUGCCAAGAAUACGCUACAAGAGCUCCAGCACAGGAGACAUAAGCCUGGGUGGGGCAAAGGUAUUACUAAGAACGUGAAGAAACUGUUCUUGAUUUUAGACAAUGGAAUCUGAAUCUAUAAAUGAUUGCUUCCUUUAGUGCUUGGAAGAAAAUUAUUCAGAAUGAAUAAGCUUGCCAGCUCUAUCAUGUAAAUAACAACAGCUCUUUCCUUUCCUGAAAAUCUAAAAGCUGGAAAGCAGAUUCUUCAAAUGACUGAAAAUAAAGUACAACCUGUAUGGACAGAAAGAUCAAGCUUUAAGUCAUGAAUGGGGUGAGGGUUCCACGAGUGCCUCAUCAAUAUUAUACACGAUAUAAUCAUUAUUGGCUGACUUGAAACACAACACUGACAUAGAAUUCUCACACACACAGAUUCUGCUUGGACAGAAUUCCCACUUACAGCACAAAAAUUCUUCCCUCAGAAUUUCUGCCUAUUAAAUGAGAAUCAGGCUAUGGGGCACAAACAAAAUGAUUAAUCCUUUCCUUAUCCUUUUAAAACAGUGAAUAGUGCUAUAGGCUGGUAUUCACCUAGACAGAACCAUGUCAUCAAAACACUUGAAUCACUCUGGCACUCUGAAUUCUAGGCCAAACACCAGGCAGAACAGAGAAAGACCAUGAGAGACCUUAUUUUAUAAUAAAGUAUUAAUUUCCUCAGGAUCAAAUUAUUCAAAUCACUUAAAAAAGACAUUUAUUGAGUCCCUAUUAUAUGCGAGCCACACAACUAGGUAUUUGGACAUUAAUCUCCUCUAAUAGCAAAUGGGGUAAUGACCUACAUCCCUACUUUCCAGAUACGGAAACUGAGGAUUCCAGAAAAUAAGAGUAUGUAUCUAAAUUAGAGCCUGAUGCUAUCAGAAUUCAAAUCUAAGACUCUUGACUCCUGGCUCUGUGCUCAUACUACCAUACCAAGAAAGCAAGGAAAAAAGCCUAUAAGAAUUGUAAUGAAUGUAAUGAAAAUCAUUACUAAUCAGAUUUUAGUAAAGGCCUCUCACCUGAAAAUCCAAGAUAUUAUUUCUAGGACCUCAUAAGAUUUCACAGAAAUUAAAAAAUCAGUUCCUUUAUUUCAUGAAUAAGAAUAUGGGGAAAUAUUUAGCUUUUAGUACCUCCUUGUCUAGGGAAAGAAUUAACUUUUACAUCUGAUAAAGAUGACCUUUAAUUUCAUUUCCCCUCACAUGCUCUCUUGAAAAAUCAGAGGCUUUAAGCUGGCUAGUUAAAAACUUUUGCUCCUCACUUCAAAAAUCAAACUAUUUUAAAGUGUCAGGGCUGUUGAAUUACAGUAGGGACCAAACAUUUCAAUGGCUGGAAUCAGAAGAUGACACUCUGUCGGUGUAAUAAAUAAACAUCCACACGAUGAAAGGUUCAGACAGCAGGCUGUGUUGCAUGAGAGUGCUUGUGAUUCCUGUAUUAAUUAAGACUGUCACAAAAAUAAACUAUCAUGAAUGACCUAAAGGGCCUAGGAUGGACUUAGCAUGUAUGUUGGUUGAAAUUUCACUUCUGGGUUUAACCAGAGCGAGUUAGACUACACAGAGGUAUGAUUUUGUACUGAGGCCCAGGGCUCCAAAGAAAGAGGAAAAGAAGAGGACCUUGGGAAGUGCCUGUGAUGGACACUCUUCGGGUGGCCUAGGCUUGACAUUUCUCAGACCAGUAGGUAAAGUGCCCAGGGACUACCCUAUGUUGCUCCUUGAGAGCACACAGGCAGAAAGACUUCAGUUGGGUACUUUCAAAUUUUAUGUGGUAUUUUCCCUUUCAGGAGCAAAGUAUCUAAAUCAAACUCUUGGGCUGACCCACUUAAAACUGGAGAAAAUUGUUCAUGCAGAACUGACAAUUAUCCCCCUUGACCCUGAAGAUGUGGGGGGAUGCAACAGGUUCCAAAGGCCAUGGAAUAACUGCUCAAAAUCUUUUCCAAACCAGCCUCCAGUGAAUCAGUAAACUCAACACUGGUGUGCAACAUGUGAUUAACAAGUGAAUAUUUCUGGAAAACCUCAGAGCUGAAAAGGCAGGAUCAUUUCACUUCCAGAGGGAAUUAGGAGGAAAUGCUGGCCUACCCCAAACCAUCCUUUAAAAAGAGUCCCCAAACCUGGACUCUUCUAAGAAAAUAAACCAGCCCAUCUCAACUAUUUGGCUGCAGGGACAUCAAAUCACUCCCGAUGCAUUUGUUAUUUAAACUGUGAUAGGGCACAUAACCCUUUCCUAAAAAGGGCCUAAGCCACUUUGCUUUCUUGGGGAAAAGAGUUAAGCAGUGAAGGCUUGCUCCUCUACUUCUCUCUUUUCUUCUCAUGAAUGGCCUUUGCUAAGAUAAUUCCAGGAUGUUAUUUAUUUACCAGAAGCUGACUUGACUUUGCAUAAAGAUCUGGAGGAGCAAAUCUGACCCUGAGAAUCCAUUAACUUUCACAGAUUUUUUUUUUAUUUGAGGGGGCACAGGCAUCAGGAAGGGGAGCAGGCAGCAACAAAUAUACCGAGAUUCAGAAGCAGCAGUUGGAGAGAAAGGUGCAUGAGGCUGGGAGAGGCACAGGCUGCCCACCCACCUCCAGCUCCAGUUUCCAAAUGGAAGGUGGGAAUUUCAAAGAAGCCUCACCUGCUGGAUAUCCCUACCUGUGCCAGCUCAUAGAGGGAAGAAGACUUGACUUCAACCCCACAGGGGAGCAUCCCAGGGCCCAAGUUAAGACAACCUGGCAGAAAGAGUGACUAAAUAGGAACAAUUCAUACCUCUGAGCAAUGGCCCAGACAUCCACCUAAUCCAGUGAUCUGUGAGGAGUGAAUCAGUUAAAUACACCUUGUUUAAAAACAAACAACUAUGACUAAAAAAUUACUUUCAAUAGAAAAGCAAUGUGGGAGGUAAGGAAGCUCAGGAAGGCUACUUCGGUAGCAGGGGGCAAAGGAAGAAAUCUGAUAGCUCAGUUUUCCCUUGACUUCCUGUGGGCCAUAACUGCACAUCCCUGAAUCUGAGCACGAAUCUGGCAGGUUUUCUCUGUCUCAGUGCGGGCAGCGGCUUGCCACGUGAAGACACUUUUCCAGGCACUGCCCAGGGUGAGCGACCGACUGUAACAUCUAUAUCCUCUCUUCCCCGGGACCUGGCCAUCCCUGAGGUUAAGCUGCCUCUUCCAGUCCAACCGCGAACCAUCAUCUAUACUCAAUCUCUGUCCGGAUAACGUGUGGUUUAGGAAAAAGGCUGGGGGAAGAGGUGCAGAUAGGAUUUUAAAAAUUAAACCACGUUUGCUUCCAAAGGGAAGAACCAAGAGCUACUUGCCUCCCGUUCUCCCUUGCAAGCCCCUUUGAUCAUUUCGGGUAAAGCAGGAACCCGAAGCUGGCGGAAUACCCAAAUGGGAGUACCCAAGAGCUUUGUUCUUCUCCAGCAGAAAUCAACACCCUCGAGGGACAACCGCGUGGUAUCCGAGGCCGAGGGGGCGCCGAAGGACCCGGGCACCAGGUGUUAUUAACUUUCCUCUUUGAGUCGAGGGAGGUGAAGCUCCAACAGGAUUGACUGUGAACUCGGGGCUUGGAAUGGACCCUCUUAGAACUUCAUUCGCUCCUUGACUCGCUCUAUGGCCGCCCAAGGCUCCAAAGCUGUGAAAUUUGGCAGAAUAAUUAGGACUGAGAACCCGACCAAGCUGUUGUGAGGAGAAGGUGGGCGGGCCCAUCCCUAAGGCCAAGUGCUCUGGAAAGGCAAAUACGGGAAAGGUGGAGAAACUAGAAAAAGUUUGCCAACUCCUGGACUAAGAGGAUGGUGAAGGCACGCUUAUGAAAGGAUUCUGAAUCCCUGAUUACCCACGUGGAACAGAACUCUUCCUUGCCUCAUCUCACCAACCUUCACUGAAGUGUGAUGGAAGUUGUGGGUCUGUCUGCUGAUGGUCAUCAGUGAUUCUGCACAGAUGUCUCCUUCCCCACCUACUCUGUGGUAGGCAAAAUAAUGGCCCAAAGAUGUCCUAAUACCUGGAACCUGUGAAUAUGUUACUUUACAGGGCAAAAAGAAUUUUACUGCUGUGAUUAAGUUAAGGACUGACAGAUGGGGAGAUCAUCGUGGAUUACCAAAGUGGGCCCAAUGUAAUCGGAAGGGCCCUUAAAAUAUGGGAGAGGAAGACAGAGAGUCAGAGAAGGAGAUAUGGUGAUGGAAGAGAUGUUGGAGAGAUUCAGUUUCUAGCUUUGAAGACAGAAGACCAGGAGCCAAAAAAUGCAGGCAGCUUCUAGAAGCUGGAAUGGAUUCUCCCCUAGAGCCUUUAGAAGGAACACAGCCCUUCCAAACCCUUUAUUGUACCCCAGAAAGACCCAUAUUAGAUCUCUAUCCUACAAAUAAUAAAUGUAUAUUAUUUGUCAGUAA